CUCACAUUCGUCAGUUACCUCGAUGGAAUCUUGAUCUGUAUAAUUAAUACAAAAUAUUUGUGGACAUUUACCACCCAAUGGUGGGCAGGGGGAGCGCAUGCUGAAACAAUAUUAGCAUCUGCCUCAAAAAUGAAUCGUUAUUUUAAGAAGAUUAUGUCUGAAGACCACAAUUUAAUAGAUUUACAUUGAUCAUCCACUAUGUUCCAGAUACUACAUGAUACUAACAAGACAACAGGAGAAGUGAUAUCAAAAGACAACGACUACACCAAAAUUUGGAGAAAAAGGUGAAUCCAGACAGUCACAGGUGAGAUCUGCCGACCUGGAGCAGAGCUGCUAGAUCCAUAAGCUGGGACGUGGAUGAAGCUGGAGGCAUUAUCCUUGGCAAACUUACACAGGAGCAGAAAACCAAAUACCACAUGUUCUCACCUGUAAGUGGGAGCUAAAUUAUGAGAACAUGUAGACACAUAGAGAGGAACAACACACACUGGGGCCUAUUGGAACGUGGAGGGUGGGAGGAGGGAGAGGAUCAAGAAAAACAUUUAGUGGGUACUAGACUUAAUACCUGGAUGAUGAAAUAAUCUGUACAACAAACCUCCAUGACACCCAUUUACCUGUGUAACAAACCUGCACAUGUAUUCCUGAACUUGAAAUAAAAGUUUUUUUAAGUGUAACUUACCAUUUUAAAAAAUAGUAUUUUUAA
rnacentral:lncRNA from 10 species